AGCGUUGUUCGGAUUCAUUGGGCGUAAAGGGUGCGUAGGCGGCGGGGUAAGUCUGAUGUGAAAUCCUGGGGCUCAACCCCAGAACUGCAUUGGAUACUGCCUUGCUAGAGUACUGGAGAGGAAACUGGAAUUUACGGUGUAGCAGUGAAAUGCGUAGAGAUCGUAAGGAAGACCAGUGGCGAAGGCGAGUUUCUGGACAGUAACUGACGCUGAGGCACGAAGGCCAGGGGAGCAAACGGG
rnacentral:rRNA from 1 species